CCUACGGGCGGCUGCAGUGGGGAAUAUUGGACAAUGGGGGCAACCCUGAUCCAGCCAUGCCGCGUGUGUGAAGAAGGCCCUCGGGUUGUAAAGCACUUUCAGUGAGGAAGAACGCCUGGUGGUUAAUACCCAUCAGGAAAGACAUCACUCACAGAAGAAGCACCGGCUAACUCCGUGCCAGCAGCCGCGGUAAUACGGAGGGUGCGAGCGUUAAUCGGAAUUACUGGGCGUAAAGCGCGCGUAGGUGGCUUGAUAAGCCGGUUGUGAAAGCCCCGGGCUCAACCUGGGAACGGCAUCCGGAACUGUCAAGCUAGAGUGCAGGAGAGGAAGGUAGAAUUCCCGGUGUAGCGGUGAAAUGCGUAGAGAUCGGGAGGAAUACCAGUGGCGAAGGCGGCCUUCUGGACUGACACUGACACUGAGGUGCGAAAGCGUGGGUAGCGAACAGGAUUAGAUACCCCUGUAGUC
rnacentral:rRNA from 1 species